rnacentral:pre_miRNA from 1 species
GCCUGGAAGAGGAAGAAAAGACACCCUAAGAGCAGUAGGCAUGGGAACAUGGAGGAAGGCAUAAAUCUCAUUUUGAGUCUUCCUGAUGCCUCCCAAGCCUAUUGUUCUUAGGUGCUCCUUCCUCUUCCACCUGACA